GACGAACGCUGGCGGCGUGCUUAACACAUGCAAGUCGAAUGGAAAGGCCCUGCUUUUGUGGGGUGCUCGAGUGGCGAACGGGUGAGUAACACGUGAGUAACCUGCCCUUGACUUUGGGAUAACUUCAGGAAACUGGGGCUAAUACCGGAUAGGAGCUCCUGCUGCAUGGUGGGGGUUGGAAAGUUUCGGCGGUUGGGGAUGGACUCGCGGCUUAUCAGCUUGUUGGUGGGGUAGUGGCUUACCAAGGCUUUGACGGGUAGCCGGCCUGAGAGGGUGACCGGCCACAUUGGGACUGGGAUACGGCCCAGACUCCUACGGGAGGCAGCAGUGGGGACUAUUGCACAAUGGGCGGAAGCCUGAUGCAGCAGCGCCGCGUGCGGGAGGACGGCCUUCGGGUUGUAAACCGCUUUCGCCUGUGACGAAGCGUGAGUGACGGGAAUGGGUAAAGAAGCACCGGCUAACUACGU
rnacentral:rRNA from 1 species